GAUGAUUUAUACGGAUCCCCGUAUGUAAUGGAAAAUAUCACUCGCCCAAAUAUGUUUCCCCCUUUACUCUCGCGCUCCUUUCCCUCCCUGAAUUCACUAAGACUCUCGUGCUCCCUCUCUCUUGCAAACCCAUCUCACUCUCACCGAAUCAUUUCAUCAUCUUCCUCCUUCAGUCUCGCUCUCUCUCAAGCUUCGUCAUCUUUUUCAUUCAAUCUCGCGUUGCACUCGCACUCCCUCCCUCUCGCUUAGUGACACAGAAGAUCUUAUAGGGUUCUCAAGUGCAAACCUUUCUUCUAGGGUUCUUGGCCAAAGCAUGGAAGGAGAGUGUAGAAGAAGAAGAGACAGAUUGAAGAGUGGCUCGUUGCUAACGCCAAGACCAAAACCCUCUUCGAGCUCCAAACAAGGUCAAAUCUC
rnacentral:lncRNA from 1 species